rnacentral:ribozyme from 1 species
GCUGCUCGUAAUAAUAUCACACACCUCUCCGUGGUGAGCAGCAGGCAACGAUCUUACGAUCGGCGAAGAUGUGA